CCUACGGGAGGCAGCAGUGGGGAAUAUUGCACAAUGGGGGAAACCCUGAUGCAGCGACGCCGCGUGAGUGAUGAAGUAUUUCGGUAUGUAAAGCUCUAUCAGCAGGGAAGAUAAUGACGGUACCUGACUAAGAAGCUCCGGCUAAAUACGUGCCAGCAGCCGCGGUAAUACGUAUGGAGCAAGCGUUAUCCGGAUUUACUGGGUGUAAGGGGAGCGCAGACGGCAGGGCAAGUCUGAUGUGAAAGUCCGGGGCUCAACCCCGGGACUGCAUUGGAAACUGUCCGGCUAGAGUGCAGGAGAGGUAAGUGGAAUUCCUAGUGUAGCGGUGAAAUGCGUAGAUAUUAGGAGGAACACCAGUGGCGAAGGCGGCUUACUGGACUGUAACUGACGUUGAGGCUCGAAAGCGUGGGGAGCAAACAGGAUUAGAUACCCCAGUAGUC
rnacentral:rRNA from 1 species